AGUAUAUCCAAAUUGCAUUGAUUUUCUUCGAUCUUCAACAAUUCAAUUUGUGAACGCAACGUUUGCAAUUGAUUUUCCAUUUGUUUGGAUUUCUUUAAAUACUCUAAACGACUAUUUGUGAUUUGCUCCAUUUCCGCAUCGCGCGAUCACUAAAAGUGCAAAUUGACAAAAGUAAAUGAAAUGAAAAGUGAAAGAGAGCCAACUGUCAAAAGUGACUCAAAUCGCAGCAAAUUGUUAUUGUAGGAAUGUAACAUAAAUAGUUGGCGAGUACGCACGCACUGAAUAUACUAAACAAUUUCAGUUGUUCACAAACAAAAACUAAUUUAUUAUUUCACGAAGUUCACAAACAAAUAUGAAUAUAGCUUUUAACAUAAUUGAAAUUAUUUUACAGAGUUUAUGUUUACAAUCUGCUUAAAUAAGACUACAUAAUAAACUGCUAUCAAAUACUAUCCAACAUAUUGCUUUCAUGCAUUUUCUGUAUUGAGUAUGAAUUUACAUUUGUAUGUAUGUACGUGUUGCACAUGAAUUAAAUAGUCGUUUAUGAACCCAAACAAUCACUUAACAGCUACGUAAUUAGUUAUAAUAUAUAUCAUUUUACAUUUUAUAAGUUGUUACGCUAAAUUAUAAACUAUAAGCCUGUUGCUUUAGCUAUGAUAAGCUUGCUUUUGUUUACUGGUACAAUUUGCUUUGUUCUCUUGCACACUCCUCUUUCCAAUUAUUAAACUAAUUUGCGCUUCCACAUUUUGUCAUGCUCUAUACAACACACCUUUUCAAACGUUCAUAGUG